AAGAGCGCCACCUUUCUGUAAGGUAGACACUGACCCUACCGCUGUUUCAAAGGUUAAGUCGGAUUGAAUUUCCUUUUACAGGAGACUGGGAAAGCACGUGACGACCAUCACUCCAGCAGCUGCAGCGAUCCCUGACUGAGACUGCAGAAAGUGACCCGCUAUCGAAACCCACAGCAGCCAGAGCCAGGUGUGUCUGGUCCACGGUUAUCCACUGGUUGCAUUUCCUUUGGUAUCUUGGACAAGCAGCUGAAAGUGUUUCUGGCAGCUUGAGGAAAUUGUGGAUUUCAGGCCGCACCCAGGACUCUGCCCUCUACGGGACAGACAGACGAGCUGUGGAGGGCUGUGCUUCCAUUUCCAUCUCAUACAACUCCAUCCCGAGCUGGAAAUGAGCGCUGCCUUUCACUGUAAAGCACCAAGAAUCCGGAGAAAUGCACUGCAAAAAACAGGGAAAUGUAGUAAUACUGAAAGAAACUUAUUUUACUGAAGUUCUGAGUGAUCAUGCACACUUUGUAUUAUUAGUAUUAUUUUUUAAAUCCAUGACCCAUCUCCCACUCUC